rnacentral:rRNA from 1 species
GACGAACGCUGGCGGCGUGCUUAACACAUGCAAGUCGAGCGGUGAAGCGCCUUCCUUUUUGGUGGGUGUGGAUGAGUGGCGAACGGGUGAGUAACACGUGAGUAACCUGCCCCCUUCUUCUGGAUAACCGCAUGAAAGUGUGGCUAAUACGGGAUAUUCUGGGUCUGUCGCAUGAUGGGUCUGGGAAAGAUAUUGUUUCGGUGGGGGAUGGGCUCGCGGCCUAUCAGCUUGUUGGUGGGGCGAUGGCCUACCAAGGCGGUGACGGGUAGCCGGCCUGAGAGGGUGGACGGUCACACUGGGACUGAGACACGGCCCAGACUCCUACGGGAGGCAGCAGUGGGGAAUAUUGCACAAUGGGCGCAAGCCUGAUGCAGCGACGCCGCGUGAGGGAUGGAGGCCUUCGGGUUGUGAACCUCUUUCGCCAGUGAAGCAGGCCUGCCUCGUUUGUGGGUGGGUUGACGGUAGCUGGAUAAGAAGCGCCGGCUAACUACGUG